rnacentral:rRNA from 1 species
UGAUAUUACAAUACUAAACUAUCCGCCAGAAAACUACGAGCGAAAAGCUUAAAACUCAAAGGACUUGGCGGUGCUCCACACCGACUUAGAGGAGCCUGUCCUAUAAUCGAUACCCCACGCUAAACCUUACCAAUCUUUGCCAGCCUAUAUACCGCCGUCGUCAACCUACCUCGUGAGAGAAAAACAGUAAGUGUAAAAGUUCAGUAACUAAAACGUCAGGUCAAGGUGUAGCUUAUAGAAUGGUAGAGAUGGGCUACAUUUUUUAAGAUAAAACACACGGCAUGGUACUAUGAAACCAAUACCUAAAGGAGGAUUUAAUAGUAAAACUAACGAGAAAAUUAAUUUUAAAC